CCUGCCAGCAUCACAUGACCUUCAAACAGGAUCUGUGGAGCCCCAAACAAGCAGCGCCGCAUUUCUCUUCCUGUAAAUCCAGCUCCUUCUUCUUCUUCUUCCUUUUUCCCUCCUCUUUUUUUUGUAUUUUUUUUUCUUCUAAAAAUGUGCAGUGAAAAAAGGAAACCCCUAAUCUCUGUUUAAUAUGGUUUGGCCGGAUGUAAAUACCUCGGGACAAUGAAGCUAAUCUGGGCCGGGCUGACAACCUCACACCGUCGCCAGAGAGAGAGAGAGGGAUGGGGGAGACGGAGGGGGAGGCGAGGGGAUGGUUUGAUGGAGAUCAAGGAGGAGAAGGGAGGGAGGGAGGCUUUUCCCUUUAGCUUGUUGCUUCUAUUCUCCGCCGUCCCGAUCAAAAGAGCCCCUUGAAAAAAAGCAUCAAGUUAAAGAUGGACGCCGCCUCCAAACAUCCCGCCUCCCGCCUUUGCCUCACCCCCCGCUCGGCUAACGAGCAUCGGAAGCUACUGUACGUCUUGGCGGCGUCCAAUCGCCUCCUUUCAUCGCCCUCCUCAUCAUCAUCAUCCCCCCGCCGGCCUCAGAAUAGGGCCUCGGUUUGGUAAUUGUCAUUCCAAAGACGAACUGGCCUAGUUUCAAUUCAGCAGACGGGUGGAAGAAGCUGGAAACACCCCACAUUAAAAAAAAACAAAAAAAAAAGCCAGGGUGGAGCGUGUGCGAGGCCGCCGGACAACACGAUCACGCCGAGGAGGAACCAGUCUGAUCACAAGGUGGCUUUAGGAGCUCUCUUGAUGUUCUCUCAGAGGUGAAGAUCGCGGGAGGAGAUCGAUCCUUCAGGAAAGUUCGACUUUGGAGGAAACGACGGGAGUCAGAAGAUGCUGAAAUUCGAGUGAGAGCUGGAAAACACAACUUUUUGCUGCUUUUCCUGGACUUUUUUUGUGUCUUAUAAAGAAUUCACAUCUUGAUUGUGCAGCAGCAGGACCUGAAUCCGCUGCGAGCCCAGAGAGAGGAGCCUCUGUUUGGGGGGAAGAACAACUGCAGCACAGUUGUCCCGACACAUCCACAGCAGACAUCUAUAGCAGCACAUCCUGGACACAGAGAGGCCUGAAGAAGCAGCUUUAACCCCGUGAACCCCUAAAACCUGCCACUGGGAAUGAAAAGCACGCCUUCUUUAAAAAAAAAACAACACAGAUAUUAAACCGUUUAUCAGAGCCAGAAACCGUAAAAACAGAAAGAAAGACCAAACCGAAAUGACCGACCUCACCUCAAACUAUGAUUUCAUCAAAUCCCUUUAUGCGACGUCUCAUUUAAAAAUUGCCAAGAAUUAACUAUUUGCUUUAACCAAAUUCUGCUAAAAACUAAAAAUCUGCACUUCUCGAUACAACCAGGAAGCUAUGGACAACUUAGUUGUGACCAACUGUGGCUUUACAAAAAUUCUGGGACUUUUCAGCUGAACUGCAGGCAGUGUCUACCCAGAGCGGGGCAAAUAAGAGACAAACAUGAAACAAGCUAAAUAAUAAAGUGUAAAAUAUCUACAGUGUGCAGAGAAACUUAUUUUCCCGUCUUGGUAACAUCUGUUGGCACUUGAAAAACUUAUUGUACAUGUCGAUUUCAGGUUUUAUUCAAUUGAUGUAAAAUAAAUAAUCAAAGAAAUUCAACUUUCAUUUCUUAUUUUUUUUUAUUUACGUCCUUUUAACUGUGUCAAACUUCACAAAAGACACAUUUAAGCUCUUUCUACUCCUAACCAUGGUUGUUCUGUUUCCAUAGAGGUGCAGGACUUUAAAUUGCAGAGAAAAAUGAACCCACAGCGAGUAAAAAUGUGAAAGAAAAUGCCCAGAAACUGAUAUGACGAUACAGGAAUAGUGCUAAAUAAACUUAUUUUAAAAUUCACUGUAAUCAACUUGAGACUGCUAGCAUUGCUAAUUGGCUAGCCGAGCCUUGCAGGUACCCGUAUCUAUAGUAACCCCUUCAGUAACCACGGCUACGGCGCAUGUACGCCUUCCACUACGGUCCUGCCUUUCCAUUCAUUAAAGAGUCAAUGGGAGUUUCCUGAAGCAGCUCAGUGCCGCAGUAAAGCACUUCACACACACGAAAAUGUACAACUGCUUCCUUAUUCAGCCCGAGUCGGCGUGACACCGAGCAAAGAGCAGCACUCGACUCCCAGCUAUUGCGGUGAAAAGGGCUCAAUGGUCGAUUAUUCCAGGCUGCAGACGAACAUGAGAAGCAGAAUACGGCUCUGUGAAAUUAUAAUCUCAUAUUGUAAAGGGUAAAAUAAAGCAGGAAAUCUUUACUUUUUACGGAUUUACUCACUGAAAAACUGAUAUGAUUAACCUUAUGUGAAACCAGCUGAUUAAUUUUCUGUCGCUAAUGAAUUAAAUACGCAUUUAAUCAUUCUGGACUUUCACUUGAACCUCCAAAUUCGACAUUUUUCCGUCACUGUGGGCACAUUUUGCACUCCAAUAUAAAGUCCUGCCCCUCUAUGGAAACAGAACAACCAUGAUCAGAAGUGGAGAAAACUAAAACAUGUCUCCUGGCUCUACAUCCCGCAAAUAUUUGACUAUUUACAUGCUUUAAUUUGCUUCCAUACCAGUCUCAUGUCUGUUCUGUAGUUCAUCCAAACGACACUUGGUCACAUCUGAGGUUUUAUUAGCUUCACGGUUGCACCAAAGAAUGCAGAUUUGUUUUAGUUUUUGACAGAGAAACCAGUUUAUUUUUGGCAAAUUGCUGCCAAUGGAAGAGCACAUCACAUGCGAGUAGUUCACGGGCAGUCAGAAAGAUGAAAAUCCUGAAAUUAUUUCAGCUGUUGCAGUUGCUGAGUCUUACAUUUUCAACUUGUUUCUUUACUUGCCUCCUAUGUGUUUGGCAUAAACACAGCCUGCAGUUCAACCGAGUUCAUCCAAAGCCUCACAUGCAGAUUUUUUUUUUAAGCUUUUGACAGAGAAACCAGAGUAUAUGUGGCAAAUUCUUCAACGAAACAUGCAAAACAAACAGAUUUUGAUUUAAAAAUUUGGGCUUUAGGCACCGAUUUUGCUUAAUUUUCCCAACGGAACUGCAGGUCACACAUGAGUAGUUCAAGGACUGUCUGAAAGAUGAAAAUCCCUGAAAUAUUUCAGUUUUCACAGUUUUUUGCUUUUAUGAAAGGUGGAAUUUUGGUGAUUUUUAAAUAAAAGUGAAUUCUGCGGUUCACAGAAUUACCGGCAGUCAGUGGGCAGACUUUGGCCUUUUUGGAAAGUGUUUAUUUCAUGCAAAGUUUUCUUAAAGAACCAUAAAAGUGCAUAGCUUUGGACAAACCAGUAGCGCAGUUGCUAAGCACAGGAUUAAUAUAUUUAUUUAGUAUUUAGAUUUGUUCUGUGUUGUUUCCUUGUCGGUUGUGACGGAGCUCUUUGUUGUGGAAAACUGGUGUCAAAAACUAAAACUAUUGGUCGUAACUGAAGUUGACAUUCAUUCAUUUGUUGUUUAUUUUGCAGGGAAAAUGCACCAAACACGUCUCACACCAGAUGAAGCCAGAAGCUGUCUUUGAUCCGCAGGAACAUUCAGAAAGCAGAAGCAUGAAGCCGGCUGCUCCAGAGCUAAAAUAACCUCCUUUGAUUGUGCCUUUGUGGCGACGCGCAGCAGAUAAACCGGCAACGUUGUCACACGAGGAAAAAAUGCAGCCAAUUACCAGAGACACCACAGUCAAAAAAUAACAUUUCAUGGGAGUUUUGAAAAACAUUCUGACGUCGGUUGUCUUAAAAAAAUGACCAAAAGCGGAGUGGAGUCUACUGUCAGCCAGAAGUCUCUUUCUCUUCUUUCCAGGCAGAAUAAGGCUUCCAUUACGCUCCGCAGACGGCACAAGGGUUUAUUAUUUUAGCUCUCCUGGCAAAAUAACACGAGGGGGGAGCUGGGGGGGUGAGGAGGGGUGAGGAAGGAGGGAAGAAGGAGGGAGUUUGGUUUCAAUAUUAGAUGUGUCAGCUGCCCGGCUCGAUGAUGUGGACGAGAUUCAAACAGAAGCUCAUGUGAGGGCGACGACACACAUCGUUACUGAGGAAAGAAAGAAAGAAAGAAAGAAAGAAAGAAAGAAGGAAAGAAAAAGAAAGAAAGAAAGAAGGAAAGAAAGAAGGAAAGAAAGAAGGAAAAAAGAAGGAAAGAAAGAAAGAAAAAAGAAAGAAAGAAGGAAGAAAGAAAGAAAGAAAGAAAGAAAAAGAAAAAGAAAGAAAGAAGGAAGGAAAGAAGGAAAGAAAGAAGGAAAGAAAGAAGGAAAGAAAGAAGGAAAGAAGGAAAGAAAGAAAGAAAAAGAAGGAAAGAAAGAAGGAAAGAAAGAAGGAAAGAAAGAAGGAAAGAAGGAAAGAAAGAAGAAAGAAAGAAGGAAAGAAAGAAAGAAGGAAAGAAAGAAAGAAAAAAGAAAGAAAGAAGGAAAGAAAGAAAGAAAAAAGAAAGAAGGAAAGAAAGGAAGGAAAGAAGAAAGAAAGAAAGAAGGAAAGAAGGAAGGAAAGAAAGAAAGAAGGAAAGAAAGAAGGAAAGAAGGAAAGAAGGAAGGAAAGAAGGAAGGAAAAUAGAUGGGACACGGAAAGAAAGAAAGAAAGAAAGAAAGAAAGAAAGAAAACAGGAAAGAGGAAAGAGAGAAAAAAUAGACAAGAAAGAAUGAAGGAAAGAAUAGAAAGAAAGAAAAGAAAGAGAGAAAGAAAGAAAGAAAAUGAAACAAAGACAGAAACAAACACAAACAAGAGAAACAAACAAAAAGAAAAAGUAUUAUAGUAAAACGGUGAUGUAGAUAUAUAUUGGUGAAUAUUGGAGCACAGUGUAAAUACUUCAUUUUGUACCAGUUUGGUCUCAUUCUGUUCUCCACUCUAAUAAUGACCUGAUCCAACCUUUGUCUGAUAUAAAUCUGAUUUACUAAAGUCUGGACUGAUCUAAAUCUGAUGGGACGAGGAUGAAGAUGAUGAAGAUGAGGAGGAGACGGAGUGAACAGAUGUGUGGAAAGGUGUUUGGAGGAAGAGGAGUGAGAAAGGGAAGGAGGGAUGAAGAGAAGAAGACGACGACAGAGGGAGGAAGGAGAUGAAAGACGCACUUCUACACACACUUCUACACACACAGUCUGCUGCUCUGCCUUCAUUCACAGAAAUGGAAAUGUGCUGCAGCAGAACCACACCACUGCUUCUGUUUGGUGGACAUUCAGAAUAAGAGACAGACAACACUAUAUACAGUCUGCACACAAUGAUAUUUGUGUGUUUCUGUCUUUUAUUAUGCGUCUUCCCUGCUCGUCUAAACCCUUACGGUGCCACUAAUCGAGCCUCUGAAGGUGCUUUUUAUUCUCCGGCUGGAUCGUCCUGAUGGAUGGCGGCUGAAGAACGCGGCCAGGACACUCUGAGCACGUUUAAACGUGUUUUCUCGCCGGAGAGAGUCUGAGCCGGGAGCCAGCGCCGUUGGAAGAGUGUGUUUUGUUGCUGGCAGAAGCAAACAGAUGGCAGGUUGUGUGUGGAGCUGAAAGGAGUCCAACACACACAAAUACAGCGGGACCAGCAGAGACGAUCCAGAGCCGCUCUGUCCUCCUCAGAAACACUAACACAGCACCCUCUCUGCUCUGUUAUUUCACCUCCAUUACCAACUUAAACUCUGUUUACUCGCC